AUGCACGCUGGCGGCGUGCCUCAUACAUGCCAGUCGAGCGAACAGACGAGGAGCUUGCUCCUCUGACGUUAGCGGCGGACGGGUGAGUAACACGUGGAUAACCUACCUAUAAGACUGGGAUAACUUCGGGAAACCGGAGCUAAUACCGGAUAAUAUAUUGAACCGCAUGGUUCAAUAGUGAAAGACGGUUUUGCUGUCACUUAUAGAUGGAUCCGCGCCGCAUUAGCUAGUUGGUAAGGUAACGGCUUACCAAGGCAACGAUGCGUAGCCGACCUGAGAGGGUGAUCGGCCACACUGGAACUGAGACACGGUCCAGACUCCUACGGGAGGCAGCAGUAGGGAAUCUUCCGCAAUGGGCGAAAGCCUGACGGAGCAACGCCGCGUGAGUGAUGAAGGUCUUCGGAUCGUAAAACUCUGUUAUUAGGGAAGAACAAGUGUGUAAGUAACUAUGCACGUCUUGACGGUACCUAAUCAGAAAGCCACGGCUAACUACGUG
rnacentral:rRNA from 1 species